CUUCUGCUUCUAUCUAUUAACAUAAAUAAUCCAGAUAUAUAUAAGAAUUUACACUAAAGUUAUAUUUAAUAUAAACUUAUAAUAUUCUAAAUAUAUAUUUGCUCUAAUAACAGAAAAUGAAGUUCUCUUUGUCUUAUGCAAGCCUCCCAACAUCUUCCUGUUAUUCUUGUUUCAUGCACACUGUGCCUACAAAAGUUAUUAAUGUAAUUAAAAAUAUAAUAUAUAAUUUCAUUAUAUAAAAUGAAACUAAUCACAAAAGAACAAGUACCUGGAUAUCUUCUUGUCCCCAAUAACGAACAAGUAUCUCCCACUGUUCAGCUUUCACACGCGGAGGAGGUCUAGAGAUAAGAUUUUCUUUCCUCUGGUGCUCAUCCUAGUAAUGACGCUUGAUAUAAGACUUCCAAUUCCUCCACAUCUCACCAACCGACCUUAAACAAUUUUCUCUAUAUUCAUUAGGGGCAUCUGUGUUAUCUUAUAAAAUUAAAAUUUAACAAAAUUAGUAAUCAUAUAAAAUGUAUGAAUAUAAAAGACAAG
rnacentral:lncRNA from 1 species